GGUCAAAACAAAAACAAUAAACAAAACAAAACCACAUGUGGAUUUAGGAGACACGAAUAUCAGAAGAUAUAACGUAUUUGUUAUCUUGGUAGACGUAAAACCUCAACGCUACUGGAAUUCCUGUUUUCUUUUCAUAAUUGCAGUGUUGUUUUCAAGCGCCCUCAAUUCAGAUGACAGAUAAACCAUGCCUCCUGUUAAUCAGCUAAUUGAUUCUGUUUAAUGACUGACUGAUCAAUAUUUUUUUGAUAUUGAUCUUUGUUAAAUAUUUUGUUGAGUUUUCUUUUGUGUAAGUGGUAUAAUUUAUCAUCUUGUUUGUACUUCUUUGUCAUUUAAAUUGAAUUUAUGAGAACAUUACAAAAUAAAUGUUAACUGAAUUGAACUUUGUAUAAUAUUGUUUCAAAUUAAAACUACACAGACUGAAAAAAUAAGUCAGUUUCAUUAUUUGUAAUUGAUUUGAUUUAUUUUUAUUUUAUUUCAUUCAAUCAUCAAUCAAUAGAGAUAGAAACCUCCACUAACAGGUUGGAGAAUACAUAUUAUACAAAGAGACAAAAUUUACAGGAAGGAAAAGGAGGAGGAUGAUGGAGAAAAAUAACGAUGUGACGACGACGAGAAUAACAACAACAACAGCAACA